rnacentral:rRNA from 1 species
UACGGGGGGAGCAAGCGUUGUUCGGAUUUACUGGGCGUAAAGGGCGCGUAGGCGGCCAGCACAAGUCAGUUGUGAAAUCUCCGAGCUUAACUCGGAAAGGUCAACUGAUACUGUGCGGCUAGAGUGCGGAAGGGGCAACUGGAGUUCUUGGUGUAGCGGUGAAAUGCGUAGAUAUCAAGAGGAACACCUGCGGCGAAGGCGGGUUGCUGGGCCGACACUGACGCUGUGGUGCGAAAGCGUGGGGAGCAAACAGG